UACGUAGGGUGCAAGCGUUGUCCGGAAUUAUUGGGCGUAAAGAGCUCGUAGGCGGUUUGUCGCGUCUGCUGUGAAAACUCGGGGCUUAACUCCGGGCCUGCAGUGGGUACGGGCAGACUAGAGUGCGGUAGGGGAGUGGGGAAUUCCUGGUGUAGCGGUGAAAUGCGCAGAUAUCAGGAGGAACACCGGUGGCGAAGGCGGUGCUCUGGGCCGGUACUGACGCUGAGGAGCGAAAGCGUGGGGAGCGAACAGG
rnacentral:rRNA from 1 species